rnacentral:rRNA from 1 species
CCUACGGGGGGCAGCAGUAGGGAAUCUUCGGCAAUGGACGAAAGUCUGACCGAGCAACGCCGCGUGAGUGAAGAAGGUUUUCGGAUCGUAAAACUCUGUUGUUAGAGAAGAACAAGGAUGAGAGUAACUGUUCAUCCCUUGACGGUAUCUAACCAGAAAGCCACGGCUAACUACGUGCCAGCAGCCGCGGUAAUACGUAGGUGGCAAGCGUUGUCCGGAUUUAUUGGGCGUAAAGCGAGCGCAGGCGGUUUCUUAAGUCUGAUGUGAAAGCCCCCGGCUCAACCGGGGAGGGUCAUUGGAAACUGGGAGACUUGAAUGCAGAAGAGGAGAGUGGAAUUCCAUGUGUAGCGGUGAAAUGCGUAGAUAUAUGGAGGAACACCAGUGGCGAAGGCGGCUCUCUGGUCUGUAACUGACGCUGAGGCUCGAAAGCGUGGGGAGCAAACAGGAUUAGAUACCCCUGUAGUC